rnacentral:rRNA from 1 species
UUGAAAGGGAAACGAUUGAAGUCAGUCGUGCUGGCGCGAAAUCAACCCUCUCAUCGUGAGAUCCCUGGUGGGGCGAGGCUUAAAACCCCCACCGNANGNNUCUCUCUUGNAGGAAUAGNCUUUUUCGUGUGCUGUGUAACAUCUAUUUUUAAAACCAUAAAAAGGCUGUGGGGAUGUGGCUCCUUCUCGAGUGUUAUAACCUUUUUAGCAAUGUGGUGUUCGGGAUUGAGAAUUGCAACGAAUACCUUUAGAGCUGUUCCACCUGGCUUCUCUUUGUGAUCCUGGGGACGACAGCUUGCUGACGUUGUUAGAAUUCGCCUUUUAACAGGCUAGAGUGUGAGCAAAUUCGUUAAGGAUGUUGACGUA